rnacentral:lncRNA from 1 species
GGCGCGGCGUUGGGGGCGUAGGGGGCGCAGGGAGCCGGGGCUCCCGGGUUGCAAGCUGCCGGCGGGCUGCCGGGCAGGUGGAGCGCGGGACGGCCCGGUGCGAGCCCCGCGGCCCCUCGGCGCGCCCAGGCCCGGAUCUCGGCCUGCGCCGUGCCGGGGACCAGAGGCGCCUGCGGAAACGCGGCGGCCGGGGAAGGAGGCACCGGCAGGGGCCCCGUGCCGCGCGGCCCCGGGCGCCCUGGAGAAUCUGGCCUCCUGGGCUGCCUGCCGGAACGCCUAGAGAAAGAUGCUUUGAAGGAGGGAAGCAGGGAGGAAAGGAAGACUUCAUAGAAAGCGACCGCCGAUCCGAAAGCUGCCUCUCCCAGCCCUCCUUCCACUCUCCGAGACCCAGUAUUUCAAUUUUCUGCUAAGCAUUAAAACAAUCUCCCCUUACUCCUCCUCUACAUAGCACAUUUUUUUAAACCAAAGAAACACCCCAAUGCCCAACAAUAAAGAGGAAUUAUUACAAUCAAGAGGAAUUGUUGCAAUUCUUCAUGCCUGCCUCUGUGCUAAGAGUGUAAGACGGCUAUCCUAAAUCCUCAUUAUCUACUUAGGCCGCCUUGCCUGAGCCCCCUCUGUCUAUUAUGAAGAAAGCUUCCAAGAGAUCCAAUCACAGAGAAAAAAUAAAUUUUCUAAUGGCUGCAGGGAAACCAGUUAAUUUAAGCUUGCCCCAGUCCUCAAAGUGAUGUUAUUCUCUUGGUGGUGGUGGUGGUGGUGGUGGUGUUAAAGAUAUCUCUUAAGGACAUAUGACUGGUAGAAUUGCCAAC